rfam:Ophiophagus hannah scaffold3179.1, whole genome shotgun sequence.
AUCUAGGCUUCUUUUGAAGCCACAAGCAUUAUAUUAUCAUUCUAA